CCCAGCGUGGCUUAGUGGCUUGAGUCCUGGACUGUGACUCUGGGGAGCAGGGUUCGAAUCCCCCCUCGGG